rnacentral:lncRNA from 1 species
CUUCCAUCAACCCUCCAGGUCAACCAGAAAUAACAGGUUCACAUCAAUAUAACUUAGGAGAUACUGUCAAAAUGAUAUGCCGUUCUAUAGGAGGAAAUCCUUUAUCAACAUUAAAUUGGCUGAGAGAUGACAAUGUCAUUACAAAUGGUAUCAGUAGUUCUACGAACAAUGGCGUAACAACGUCAACUUUAACUUUUACUGCUGGCUUGAAAGACCACCUCGAAGUGUUUGAAUGUCAGGCGAAUAACGGCGUAUUGAAUAAGCCACUUACAACGACAACAUAUAUUGAAGUAUAUUGUACGUACAUUUGUAUAUAAAGCUUCGAGCAUAUCAAAUAUAUUUAAAGAAGAACGUGUAACAACACACUUUAUUUGCUGUGCAAUCAUAUUCUAUUGCUACAAUUAAAACAUAUCGAUACAGGUACGCUGUUAGUCCCCUAAAACAGGGCGUUAUGAAUCUCCAAAACUGAUGACACACAAAAUCUGUUUUUUAAGGUGAAGUUUAAGCAACAUUGCGAUAAGAACUUCAUAAAAUUAAAAUACUUGUGACUUUAUCACUUUCAUCUAUUUUUAUUAAUGGCAAGAUGAUUUCCAUUAGAGAAGGUAAAACAAAAAUACCUAAUCCAAAGGCAUGUUAAAAGGAAGUCAAAUCAAAAGACAAGUGAAAUAACAACUUCCAUAUUCUUAAAUUCGUACGGGCUUCUUUGACAAUUGGUGGUUUUAACUUGUUUUUUUUUACAGCUAGAUAAACCUUAUAAUUAUACGACAGCUGUUUCUAGUUCAGUUCCGUUAUGUUGUAAAAUUUUGGCGAUCAACCUUACACUUGAGUUGCUAUUUUUCUGUAAAAACAAAGAAAACAAAGAAAAAUCAUGUUAAAUAUCAAUAUUGAUACGCUACUCUCACUAAAACGUCUUUGUGUUGCCUUCACAAAAUAAACCGUUCUAGAAGAGUUCUGAUUAAGAACAGCUGAAAUCAACAGUCCAUAUGUUAUUCGCUCUGGAUCCCAAAUUCGUGUUUCAACUCACUACGACAUGCUUUAAAAUUUAGAAUACCAUAAUAUUCGCAUAAAACGUCAUGACACCAAUUGUGUUUUAUUCUUUAUUGUAAUAUUUUGAUUAAUUGUGAAUUCCUUGACGUCUGGUGCAUGCAUAACAAGGGCACUAUAAACCUAUAUAUGCAUACGGUCUUGCUGCUAUAGGAAUUUAAAUGUUUUAACAGUUUGUGUUGUCAACAUUGUUUUGAAUCAGUUCAUUAGAUCAAAAAUAUAUUUUCUACUGCUUCCUAAAUUGAUUGAGGCUGUAAGCUCAGGUUAUUAAAUUCCUUACUGUGAUAUAUUCACUUGCACUGAUUAUCAUUUAUUUCUUCACAUCUUAUAUAUGUAAAGAUGAUGUAUCAUUCCAUUUUUGUAUCAUUUAAGUUGCACCGAAGUUCCCAAUACUGACAGGGCCUACCAACCUGAUAUCUGGUUCCGCAGGAAAAUGGACUUGUUCAUCAUUGAAUGGAUAUCCUGCUCAAACCAUUUCAAUUAGGAUCCAGGAUCAACAUUACACUAACGAGUUUGUUGUUGUACAGUCUUAUGAUGUAAUUGAUAGAAGUUAUACAGUAGUUGGUACCUUAGACUUGGUUCCAUUAUCUAACAAUAGUGGACAAAAUCUUUGUUGUGAUGUUAUUCAUCUAUUCAAUAACAAAUUACCUCAAUCAGUUUGCUUGCAGUUAACAAUUGAAGG